rnacentral:misc_RNA from 1 species
GUCCCAUCCUUGUGGCAAGGUUCGAAAUCUGCUCAUAGUCCCUCCUGUCCUUUCUAUCUCUAGACACAAUCUCUUGGUCAGUUUCACUGCGCAAUAGCAAGCUGAGCUUCCAUUUCCACUCAUCAACAUUGGCCACCGAAGAUGNGUCUCAAAAUCGCACUCAUACUCAUCAUCGGAGAACUGCUCAACAGCAUAGCCAGAGAAAGGGUGAGUCAAAAUGGAAGAACGAGGGAGAGACAAAACCAAAGCAAACAAAUUGGCGGGGGGAUGGCAGCUUGGUGAGNNAUGCUUUUGCUGGAUACAGACUUGGCGCAUCCCACAAGGAAAACUCUUAACUUGGAAUUCCGCAUUCUAGCAUAAAACAUAGCCUCAAUUGAAUGCCUAAAUAAGCUGACUCAUUAUAAACAACAGACUCUUCGCCCA